AAUAACCCUGUAUUUAUGCAAAUUGCAAAGUAGCGUGUGAUAAUGAAAACAAAACAGUGCUGGCCCGCAGCCAAGGCAUGGCACUGACAGGGGCUCCCGACCAUUUGGCUCUUGAUUCUUCAGGGAAAGCAGCUGUAGAGAAAGGGGCAUACACAACACCGGCGUCACCCGCGCACUCACACGCGCGCACCCUCGUUCGCACGCAUUCCGGUACCGUCACCUCGGAGCCAGCCAGCCUUGGGAUCCAAAUCCAGUUCGGCUGCCUUCCGCCACCGGCACUCCAGUCGUCGUCCCCCACGAGCCUCCCUGCCCCCUGCUCCCGAUUCCCUUUCAGGAAUUUACAAACAUUUUCCACAGAUCAAUAUCUGUAUUGAUUAUUCAUUGUGAGGGAGUCGUGUGUCUUUGGUGAUCCAGCUUGCAGAGGUAGCAGCCAAAGCCUGCGGCAGGGGAGAAAAAAACAACAGAAGGCGAGAGGGACCCAGCUCUUGCUGGGUCUGCGGCUGUCGACAACACAGAAAGGAAGAAAGAGGAAGAAGCUGGCAAACGAAGGAACGGAUGAGGGUGGAGGAGAAAGAGGGAGCAACAGCAAGAAAAACCAAGCCAUGGCUGCACAUCUGGUCCCAGGGCUUGGCUGGGAGGAAACCCCCAUCUUGGGUCUGCUGUUCCGUUCACGGUGCCCUGGGCUCCCUCUGCUUGGGGAGCCAGAAGUGACUCACAGUUUUGGUAUCUCCUACGUAAGAGCUUUGGGGGGAUUCCUUGGCUUGCUGACAGGAGAGGAAGAAAGCAGCAGCAGUGAGGUAAAACACGAUUACUUCCAACUGCCUGGCGGAGGACACGCAGUCGCUUGGCUUGCCUGGAACAGCUUGCAGCUCUGUGAUGGCACGCGGAGGGAGAAUAAUUAAAAAGGCCAGCAUCACUUACUAAGUGAGUAAAUACAAAGCCGUUCCAAACGUGCUCUCCAGCUAAUGAGAAGCUGUAAUUUCUUAGACUUCAAGGCAAAACAAGACAGUGAUGGGGCUCAGUGGAGUGCGUGUUUGCGUGGAGAUGGGGGUGGGGGGUGGUGGUGGUGGUGGAGAUAAAUCGACUAAUUGUUGGCCAUGUUUAAAAAAGGGAUUACUGGAAAAGACAGUGAAAUGAUGACAGGAAAACAUCUUGGACCAGAGCCAAAAAAAAAAAAAAAAAAAUCGAGGCAAAUCAAGUCCGCAGCUUGGAGAAAACAACCAUCGCUCCUGUCGGAAGCUCCCACAGGAACUGCCCGGUGUUCCUCAGCCUAAAGUGGAAUAUUGCGUGGGCACCAGGGGUCAGGACCAGGGUCCACCAGAGUAGCCAGAGGAAGGAACCAUGGCAUGCCAGAUGACACGGUUAUGUCACACUUUGAGAAAACAAAACAGAACAUUAAAAACCAACCUUUCCUUGCCUUUUAACUGGAGCUCCUGCUUGCUCAGAAUAGCUUCUGUCUAUUCAAAGCAACCCCAAAAUGUGCCUUCUGAUAACAGGAGCUGCUGAUUCUGUUUGUCUCCAGGAAACUGCUGCAAUGCUACAGAAAAAUGCUAGGAAGAGGAGGCUGAGGAAAUUCAGUUUUCUGGUGUCUGGGCGCUAGGCAAACUGUGCCAGAUACCUCAGUACAUUGCAAGUUUCCUGAGCAGGAGACAUACAUCCUGCAGAAGUGUGCCUUGGAGACUCAAAGGAGGAGAAAUUAAGCCAGUUGUGGAUGACUUGGAUAUCUUACACUGCAUGUCUUCAGCAUUCAUAGAGACCUAUGUCUGCAGGGUCUGUGUGUGUGUGUGUGUGUGUGUGUGUGUGUGUGUGUUUGCAUGUGACAUCAUCAUGUUGAGUGUGUGCUCACAUGUGUAUGGCUCUGUUGUCUGUGUGUCUUUAGAGAGGAAGGAAGAGAGUGAAGUCAGAGCAGACGGAAUGUUGGGGCAUUUAUGUAAUUCAUGCAGAGACUGUUCAACGCUGCAAGGCAGACAGCCACCCAUUCCUGGACUCUGCUGCUCUGGAGGGCCUGUCCGGACCUGAUCUGAAUGUUAAAUGCAGGAGAUGAAAUUAGCAUACUAACCAAGAAUGUCAACCCCUCCCUGCAAUCAGUAAAUGGCCGUCUCCUCUCUUUCAAGCCGGCACCGCUACGCGCGCCAGCCACUUAACCAUGUCCUCUGUCAGGUCCCUUUUUGUGUUUGUUUUUUUGUUUUUGUUUUUUGAUGAAAGACUGGAAAUUCAUUAAUGAGGAGGGAAGGAAGGGCUUCAAGGGGCUGUAAUGAAAACAAAUGAUCCUCUUUAAAUCUCAUGUCGGCCAAAGCUGAGGUUGGGGGGGGUGGGUGUUGCUUUCUGUUUUGGGGCUGGAGAAUAGGAAAUUCCACAGACAACAGACCACUUGACAAGAGCCCAAGAAUGCACUGCUUGGGAAUUUCUUCUAUGUCGCAAAGACCGGCCAUGGCCAGUAAGUCUGUGUUAAUAAAACUGAGAAUGAGCUUUAUCUUCUGAACUGUAAAGUGUGGUCUACCAGAUGUCUUUGCAUGCCGUCACAGGUCAUCAAAGUUUCUUGACCUUGUUGAGGCUAGGACGAGCCUUCUGGAAUCUUUUGGCUGCUUGCCUCAGCUUUUGAAGUAAUACAAAUUUUUCUUUGGGGCUAUGCUUUUGGCCUUUCCCAAAGGAAGUUGUUGCUUUUAUUUUAAUCUCUAUCAUACAACUAAGUACACAAAGGAAAAGAUUUAACUUCCACUACUGUAGAGCCCUGUAUUAGGGCAGACAGAAUGCUAAGAGCUAACAAUCAGGUACUCCAGCCCAGGUAUUGGGACUUCCUUUUUCUUUAUUUUAGGCACUAUUGUUAGAAACAAACUUCUCCCCUUCCGUUGUGUUAUACUUGGUUUGACUUUAACCUAGGGGUCACACACUUUGAAAUCUCCAGGGAUCUGUGGGUACCAGCCUAAGGAGGCAUGGGGUCACAAAGAAUCAGACACAACUGAGUCACACACACAUACACAUCCACACACACAGGGCUUGGGAUGACAUGGAGACAGAGCCAUUUGUUUUUAUUUAGGGGAAUAAAGGCCCUGCCUUGUGUUGCCUGAUCUUCCAAUGUUCCAAGAGGCAGUAGAAAUUGGUAUGUUUAAAUGUAAAAAAAUAUCAAAUUUUAAAUGUUGGCUGUUAUUAGUGUUAUUUUCUAAACAGUCUACAGAUCAAAUAAAGCACAUCUGUCUGUGGGGACAGCCUGGGCCUACGGUGUGCUGGUUUGCAAUCUUCAUUUUAGUCUAAAAUAGCUACCACAGGUGUUUUUUGUUAACUUUGUAGUCUUUUAAAUGCCAAGUCUUUCUGAGAAAUGUUUUAAUUAAAAAAUAUAGAUAUUAGCAACUGCAUGGCAAAUAUCAUGGGAGUGUGUUUUGUUGGACUGAGAGAGAAGUGCUAAUUUAAAACAAUCAAGCGGGGAAGGAAAUGGAUAUUUGGAGGGCCUGUUGGUCUGCUGGUCACUGGCACCUUAGCAGGCAGGGUCUAAUGUCUUCAUUAUUUAAGGUAGUGAUCACACAACAGAGAUUUUUCACAAAGGUUGUAAGUGGGAGGAUUAAAUAUUUAGAAAGAAAUAUGUUUGAAUAUUUUCAUGUGUAUCCCUUCCAAUAUUUAAGGUAGUGAUUAGUCC
ensembl:lncRNA